rnacentral:lncRNA from 1 species
UUGUAGAACAGAAAAUAGAUAACAUAACAGAAUAUGUAUAAACAUUGGUAUUCAUUCGAUUCAAUGUCAUACAACAUUUAAAGCUCUUAAAUCAUCAGUGAAAAUACCUUUAAACAAAUAUAUCAGUAAUACAUGAUUUGCCAGUACCCUUCCAAUAAAAACAUAACAAUUUUUCCUUAAUGAAUUUGCAUAUCUAUGAAUAAUAAAAGUUAAAAUCUUAAAAGAAGUCUAAUGAGCUUACUGCGAUGAAUUCAAACAUCACUUAAAAAUCUUUUUGAUAGUUGGUACAAGAAGAUUAAAUGAUUUAUAAUAUGCUACAUAUGUUAAGGUGGUACCUAACACUUUUUCUUAAAUUAAUUUGUCUCGUUUAAUUUUCAUAAAAUUUUGACAAAAUAUUUACUUUGACCCUUUGACAAAAAUAUAAAAAUUUCAAAAAAUUUUAACCAACCAUUUGAUCAGGAUAAUUACACUGGUUAUACAGCAGUUUGACAAACAUUAAUUUUUAUCUUUGAGAAGCUUAAUAUUCUCUUAACAACAUAAAGUGAUUCAAACAUUUAGCUGAUUUUAUAGAGUUAUCUCCCUGUAGUGUUAGGUACCACCUUAAGUUAAAAACAAAUUGCAUGAUAGUCAAUAUAGUAGUCAUGAUUAGAGCUCAUCUUUAUCCUACAUUGUGUAAAGUUGGGCUUUUUAAUAUGUAAUUAAAUGAUGCUUGAUUUUUCAUUCAAUAUUUAAGAUAUGUUAACAUAGUUUGACCAAAUUAAAGCUCCUGCACAAUAAAGUAAAAAGAGUUUCAAUAAAAAAA